UAGGGAAUUUUCGUCAAUGGGGGGAACCCUGAACGAGCAAUGCCGCGUGUGUGAAGAAGGUCUUCGGAUCGUAAAGCACUGUUGUAAGUGAAGAAUGCCACAUAGAGGAAAUGCUAUGUGGGUGACGGUAGCUUACCAGAAAGCCACGGCUAACUACGUGCCAGCAGCCGCGGUAAUACGUAGGUUGCAAGCGUUAUCCGGAAUCAUUGGGCGUAAAGGGUGCGUAGGUGGCACGAUAAGUCUGAAGUAAAGGCAACAGCUCAACUGUUGUAUGCUUUGGAAACUGUCGAGCUAGAGUGCAGAAGAGGGCGAUGGAAUUCCAUGUGUAGCGGUAAAAUGCGUAGAUAUAUGGAGGAACACCAGUGGCGAAGGCGGUCGCCUGGUCUGUAACUGACACUGAUGCACGAAAGCGUGGGGAGCAAUAGGAUUAGAUACC
rnacentral:rRNA from 1 species